AGCCUGAACGCUGGCGGCGUGGCUAAGACAUGCAAGUCGUACGGGUGUAGCAAUACACCAGUGGCGGACGGGUGAGUAAUGUAUCGCUAACGUACCCCGGAUUCUGGGAUAGCUGCCCGAAAGGGCAGGUAAUACCGGAUGAUAUAUCCUUUUCGCAUGAUGAGGAUCUCAAAGGGAAACCGUUCUGGGAGCGGGCGAUAUCGUAUCAGCUAGUUGGUGAGGUAACGGCUCACCAAGGCGACGACGCGUAGCCGGACUGAGAGGUUGGCCGGCCACAUUGGGACUGAGACACUGCCCAGACUCCUACGGGGGGCUGCAGUAACGAAUCUUCCGCAAUGCACGCAAGUGUGACGGAGCGACGCCGCGUGUGGGACGAAGUCCUUCGGGAUGUAAACCACUGUCAGGGGUUAGAAAGUUCUGAUCAACCCAGAGGAAGGCACGGCUAACUCUGCGCCAGCAGCCGCGGUAA
rnacentral:rRNA from 1 species